CUCACUUAAUUCUAAUUCACCUGCAUGUUAUAGCAUCAGCUCCCCGACAGUGCAGUCCUCUUAAGAAUGAAGGACAAACAACAAUAUAAAUGCCUAUUAUCCUAAUCAUUAUUAUUCUUUUUUUUGACUGGACUUGUGAUUUCUAUUGGUGUAAGGAGUUAAGGAAUAAACUUGUACCAAAAACUCAGGUACUAAUGAAUCCACACCUUCUAAGGCUCUGUCAGUUACAUAACUCUGCUCACUGAAGAUUCUGGAAUCCAAGAUUUGAACUUAAGACAAAUAGAAAAUGAUCCUUGCCUACCACACCACUUUGGGGACAUGCCUUCUUAUUAGAAAAAUGGUUCAAGAGGACUAAGUAUAAGAAGGGACCUGAAGGAUCAUCUCAGAGGGACAUCCCCAGAAGUACCCAGUCCAAAUGUUUUUCUGGUUCUGAAAAAUGAAGGUAUGGCCACUUAAAUAAGGAGGUUAGGAUUAAGUACGUGGCUCACUCACUGCAACAAAGAGGCAAAUUAGAAUAUACUGUGAUCCUCUAAAACUCUAGAUGAAUAUUACUGUUCUGUAAGAAACGACCAGCAGGAU